UCUCCGUAGGUGAACCUGCGGAGGGAUCAUUACUGAGUGAGGGCUCACGCCCGACCUCCAACCCUUUGUGAACCAAACUUGUUGCUUCGGGGGCGACCCUGCCGACGACUUCGUCGCCGGGCGCCCCCGGAGCCCAUCAAACCCUGCGUAACUAAGUCGUCGGAGUUUAAACAAAUUAAACAAAACUUUCAACAACGGAUCUCUUGGUUCGGGCAUCGAUGAAGAACGCAGC
rnacentral:misc_RNA from 1 species